rnacentral:rRNA from 1 species
GUUAGUACACUAGCACCUUAGUUCCAGUUACUAUUUUAACAAGUACCUUAGCUCUAGUAUACUAACACAAACGCUGUUUUUAUUUAUAUAGUGUGUUUAGUCAAAACCUACUAAAUAUUUUUAUUUUCCAUAAAAGAAAACUUUAAUACACUUUUCAACUUUACGCGUUCAAUGUGUUUCCAUAAGCAUCCAUUCUUAUCUUCCGUAAAACUUAGAUUUUUUCUAAAAAAUUUUUUCUAAAAAAAUUUUUCUAAAAAAAUUUUUCUCAUCGUUUAUACCAUUAGGUAACUUUACUUUAUCACGUUUUUAAUUAGAGCUAAAUAACCCAGUAAAGUAAAGCAAAUUUAAACUAAGAGGCCGUUACUUUAAGUAAAUUCCAUAAGCUUUAGGCGAGGGUAUAAACCCUUUAUCGUUACUCAUGUCAGCAUUAUCACUUGGGUAAUCUAAUCUUAAGUCUUAAAAAGAAAAAAUCUGAGAUAUGCCCAAUGUUCCGCUACCCCAUAUAUAUUCUAUGUAACUUGUACAUAUAAAUAUUUAUGGACAAGGUCUCGGUAUAUUAUUUAGAUCCGCUAAAUCUUAGGUGCAUCUAACAAUACAUACAAAAUUGUAUAAAACCAGUGCUCUGUUACGAGGUCUUUAAAAAAUGGCCGCUCCUAAGCCCAUUUCCUGGUUGGCUUGGAUAAACACUACCUUAUUUUCACUUAACAAUAAUUUGGAA